AUUGAACGCUGGCGGCAGGCUUAACACAUGCAAGUCGAGCGGAGUGAUGGUGCUUGCACUAUCACUUAGCGGCGGACGGGUGAGUAAUGCUUAGGAAUCUGCCUAUUAGUGGGGGACAACAUCUCGAAAGGGAUGCUAAUACCGCAUACGUCCUACGGGAGAAAGCAGGGGAUCACUUGUGACCUUUCGCUAAUAGAUGAGCCUAAGUCGGAUUAGCUAGUUGGUGGGGUAAAGGCCUACCAAGGCGACGAUCUGUAGCGGGUCUGAGAGGAUGAUCCGCCACACUGGGACUGAGACACGGCCCAGACUCCUACGGGAGGCAGCAGUGGGGAAUAUUGGACAAUGGGGGGAACCCUGAUCCAGCCAUGCCGCGUGUGUGAAGAAGGCCUUAUGGUUGUAAAGCACUUUAAGCGAGGAGGAGGCUCUUUUGGUUAAUACCCAAGAUGAGUGGACGUUACUCGCAGAAUAAGCACCGGCUAACUCUGUGCCAGCCGCCGCAGUAAGAC
rnacentral:rRNA from 1 species